rnacentral:rRNA from 1 species
AAGCUCGUAGUUGAAUUUCGGGAUUAGUGCGCCGGUCGUGCCUUCGGUAUGUACUGGUGUUACUGGUUCCUACCUUCUGACGAACCGUCAUGUCAUUAAUUUGGUGUGGCGGGGAAUCAGGACUGUUACUUUGAAAAAAUUAGAGUGUUUAAAGCAGGCUCGCGCUUGAAUACAUUAGCAUGGAAUAAUGAAAUAGGACGUUCGAUCCUAUUUUGUUGGUUUCUAGGAUUGACGUAAUGAUUAAUAGGGAUAGUUGGGGGCAUUAGUAUUCAAUUGUCAGAGGUGAAAUUCUUGGAUUUAUUGAAGACUAACUACUGCGAAAGCAUUUGCCAAGGAUGUUUUCAUUAAUCAAGAACGAAAGUUAGGGGAUCGAAGACGAUCAGAUACCGUCGUAGUCUUAACCAUAAACUAUGCCGACUAGGGAUCGGAUGAUGUUAUUUUUAAUGACUCAUUCGGCGCCUUACGGGAAACCAAAGUGUUUGGGUUCCGGGGGGAGUAUGGUCGCAAGGCUGAAACUUAAAGGAAUUGACAGAAGGGCACCACCAGGGGUGGAGCCUGCGGCUUAAUUUGACUCAACACGGGGAAA